CGAAAGCCUGACGGAGCAAUACCGCGUGAGGGAUGACGGCCUAUGGGUUGUAAACCUCUUUUCUCAGGGAAGAACACAAUGACGGUACCUGAGGAAUAAGCAUCGGCUAACUCCGUGCCAGCAGCCGCGGUAAUACGGAGGAUGCAAGCGUUAUCCGGAAUGAUUGGGCGUAAAGCGUCCGCAGGUGGCGAUGUAAGUCUGCUGUUAAAGAGUGAGGCUCAACCUCAUAAAAGCAGUGGAAACUACAUAGCUAGAGUACGUUCGGGGCAGAGGGAAUUCCUGGUGUAGCGGUGAAAUGCGUAGAGAUCAGGAAGAACACCGGUGGCGAAGGCGCUCUGCUAGGCCGCAACUGACACUGAGGGACGAAAGC
rnacentral:rRNA from 1 species